CCCCUGAGCCUCCCUUCCUGCUGCCCCUUUGGGUGGGCCAGGCGCCGGCUGCUCCCCAGGGACGCCACAGCCCCCUUCCUUGGACUCUGCCUUAGCUGACAGCUGGCCUGUCUCUCCUGCCCUCCUGUGAGCCCCAGGGCCGCGGCCACGCACGUUUAUCACCGGAUCCCAGUGCCCAGCCCAGGCUGGUGGCGUGGAUGACAAGAGGCCCUCAGAAAACACUGGCUGAAGGGGGACAUGGGGACAUGCUGAGGGAGACAGAGCGGGCACUCUGUGGCCACCGGCCCCCACCUGCUCCUCCCUCUGUGGCCCCCCGAGGGCCACUGGAUGGGAGUCAGAAAGCCUCAUGGGCAGCGGCCCUUUCCUGGGUGGGUCCCCGUCUCUCCAGCUGAGGGGUGUGGCGGGGCUGGGGUCCACCAGCCGACACGCCUUCUCCCCUCAAAUGAACCCAGGGCCUUCACCCUGAGCCACAUCCCCAGCCCUUUUUAUAUUUUUGAUUUUGAGACAGGGCCUCGCUAACUUGCUGAGGCUGGCUUUGAACUUGCCGUCCUCCUGCCUCAGCCUCCCAAGACACGGGGAUUACAGGCCUGUGCCUGGCCUCCGAUGCCUUUCCUGACUAUUAGUUCCACCUGCUGGGUGCUGGGCACCAUGCUAGGCCCUUGACAUCAACUCCCUGGGGGUGGGGGUUAUGUUUCAUAUAAAACACAGCCCAGUGUCUGGGAUAAGCAUUCAAUAAGCAGAAGCUGCUGUUAUCGAGUGGUUAUUCCUACAGUGACCCAAUGAGGUGGCACUGCCGCCAACACGGAGCAGAGGAGAGACUCAGUGAGGAGGGGCUCCGUGCCACCCGCGCCAGGCUGCUCUGUUCUCCCAACUGGCCGCACAAGCCCAUUCAUCCGUCCCCUCCGUAAAUAUGCACUCCCUCUCCCGCGGCCCUGUCGGGUACCGAAGGUUGCAGAUAGAGACGAGACCCCGUCCUCGGGAGUACACAUGAGACCCCGGGAAGGUUCAGUUUGCUGGGGAAGAGGGGAGUCACUAAAUAUGCAGAUACAUGCAUCUGUAAAUUGCAGCCCGCUCGGUGGCAGGAAGGGAAAUGCCCAGUGCUGUGAGAUGUGACUUGGCUGGGGUGACCCAGACGGGGGAGCUCCUAGGGGGCUGGUUCAGGUUAACGCUUUGCUGUCCUGGUCAGCUAGCCGGAGUCCUUCCAGACUGCUGGAUGCGGUCCCUGGGCCUGCCCUGCCCUGUGCGCCUUUCCAAGUCCCCCACUCCGCCCAGCCUCUUUGAAGACGGUCCCUUUACAACUGCCCUUUCCACCGAAGGAUUCAGACACAAAUUGUACUUUAAAUUCAAUAUCGGUCAUUAAUAUUUCAUGAUUACAAAACGUUAAAGAUAAUGUCAGUGGAAGGAGGUGUGCAUGGGCAGAAUGGAUGACUCAGAAGUUCGGGCGCGGGGGGCCGGCAUACUAAGUGGCUGGGAGGCUUUGAGGUAAUCUGGGAUGACAGGCGCGGCUCCCGGCCCAGGGCGACAUUCUCUGAGGUGCGCACCAAGCUCCGCGGCUGUGUAUAAAUAUUUCCCCUCUGAUUCUUGUCACCUCGUGUUUGUCACGCCUGGGAGCAGGUGGGGCUGCUGUGACCCCCCCUGCCACCAUCCCUCUGUUUCUGAGAAUGACAAACGGACACUUCUACAGGAGGACACAGGGCCAGGCGGCAUUGCAGCUGGGGCUCGGACUGGCUCCUGGGGGCGGGAGACCUAGGGUCAGGCCUGGCCCUGCAUGGACUUGCCCUGUUUUUCGGGGGCUAUUGCUGUUCCUCCCUGGGCUUCUUUCUGUCUUCUCAUCCGUAAAAUGGGGACACUAAUUUUGUACUCAUCUCCUGGAGGUGGCAAGAAGGUAGAGUGGGUUUGUCACUUGCCACAGCUCUUGAUUAGUGCCAGCACCAAGGAAAUACCAGGGGAAGGGGGUCUGGCAGAGAGGCGGCUCUGGAGUCGGGCCGGGGCUGGGAAUCUGGACACAUCUCUAUAAAGUGCCCGGAGUCCAUGCUCAAGUCACCUGCGGAGUCCAGGCCAUCAGACAUCAGACAUUAGUAAAACGGGCGCUGGUCAUGCUACUGAUCAGGAUUCAACGAAAGUAGCGGAGAAAGCGGGAGCCCAGAAGGCAGUUGAUCUCCAGCCUGCAUCUGCCACUGCCCCAGGCGAGGCCACCAGAGUUCCUCCUCUGCUCAAGUCCCUCCUGUGACUCCUGUCUCACGGGGAGCAGAGUCUAAAGACUCUAUAGCGGCCAACUACUGUGACCCUAACGACUGUGACCCUCGACAGCCAUGCCAGCCCCCUGGCUGCUCCCCAGCGGCGGCUGCCACCUCAGGGCCUUUGCACUGGGCUGCUCUUCUAGAAGCAGCACGUGGCCCUCACUUUACUGAGGUCUUUGCAGAAAAGU